GUUUCUGUAGUGUAGUGGUAAUCACAUUUGCUUCACCUGCAAAAAAGUCCCAAGUUCAAAACUGGGUGGAAACA